rnacentral:lncRNA from 1 species
GCCUUUGAUUUUUGAGGGAUAUGAAAAAAGACCAACCUCAUUGCUCCUUAGAAAUGGUUCUAAUGGACAAAGAUUCACCUCAUUCUUAUAAAUUAAGUUAAGGUUGGUUAACUCAAUUUUUUUUGUUUAUGUUUUUAUAUCCGCUUUUCUAUUAUGUCUUAUUUUUUGUUUCAAUUUUUUUAUUUGCAAUUAUAUUAGAUCAUAAUCAAUAAAAAUGAAACCAAUCAAAUUCGUUUCUAAUAUUUCCCAUUCGCAACAAGAAACUUGAAGUAUCGAUGGUCGAAUCAUGGUUGUUUUAUUUACAUUUUUUUGUUUAUAUUCUUAUAUCUGCUUUUCUAUUAUAUUUUUUUAUCCAUCUGUUUUUUCGUUUAUAUUCUUAUAUCUUCAUGAUUCUUUGGACGUCUUUGAUUUCUUCAUUUAUUUUCUAUUGGGACUUAUUGAGCUUAACUUUAUUCUUUUUGUCUUAAUGAUAUAGAUAGAUAUAUUAGUCUUAAAAGAUUAUCCAAAAAAAGAACUGCAACAGUGGGGGAGCUGAUCCAAAAAGAACAGGGGGCUUUGUGUUAGCGGACAUAUACUGGUGGAUAU